CCAAACUGUUGCCUCGGCGGGGUCACGCCCCGGGUGCGUCGCAGCCCCGGAACCAGGCGCCCGCCGGAGGGACCAACCAAACUCUUUUCUGUAGUCCCCUCGCGGACGUUAUUUCUUACAGCUCUGAGCAAAAAUUCAAAAUGAAUCAAAACUUUCAACAACGGAUCUCUUGGUUCUGGCAUCGAUGAAGAACGCAGCGAAAUGCGAUAAGUAAUGUGAAUUGCAGAAUUCAGUGAAUCAUCGAAUCUUUGAACGCACAUUGCGCCCGCCAGUAUUCUGGCGGGCAUGCCUGUCCGAGCGUCAUUUCAACCCUCGAACCCCUCCGGGGGGUCGGCGUUGGGGACCUCGGGAGCCCCUAAGACGGGAUCCCGGCCCCGAAAUACAGUGGCGGUCUCGCCGCAGCCUCUCCUGCGCAGUAGUUUGCACAACUCGCACCGGGAGCGCGGCGCGUCCACGUCCGUAAAACACCCAACUUCUGAAAUGUUGACCUCGGAUCAGGUAGGAAUACCCGCUGAACUUAAGCAUAUCAU
rnacentral:rRNA from 1 species